rnacentral:rRNA from 1 species
ACAUAGGCUUCAAGCGUUGUCCGGAUUUAUUGGGCGUAAAGAGUUCGUAGGCGGUCGAGUAAGUCGGGUGUGAAAAUUCUGGGCUCAACCCAGAGACGCCACCCGAUACUGCUUAACUUGAGUUCGAUAGGGGAGUGGGGAAUUCCUAGUGUAGCGGUGAAAUGCGCAGAUAUUAGGAGGAACACCGGUGGCGAAGGCGCCACUCUGGAUCGACACUGACGCUGAGGAACGAAAGCAUGGGUAGCAAACAGG